CCUACGGGAGGCAGCAGUAAGGAAUAUUGGUCAAUGGAGGCAACUCUGAACCAGCCAUGCCGCGUGCAGGAAGACAGCCCUAUGGGUCGUAAACUGCUUUUAUACGGGAAUAAACUUUGAUUCGUGAAUCAAGCUGAAUGUACCGUAAGAAUAAGGAUCGGCUAACUCCGUGCCAGCAGCCGCGGUAAUACGGAGGAUCCAAGCGUUAUCCGGAUUUAUUGGGUUUAAAGGGAGCGUAGGCGGCCUAUUAAGUCAGGGGUGAAAGACGGUGGCUCAACCAUCGCAGUGCCUUUGAUACUGAUGGGCUUGAAUAUAGUUGAGGUAGGCGGAAUGUGACAAGUAGCGGUGAAAUGCAUAGAUAUGUCACAGAACACCGAUUGCGAAGACAGCUUACUAAGCUAUGAUUGACGCUGAGGCUCGAAAGCGUGGGGAUCAAACAGGAUUAGAUACCCUGGUAGUCCACGCCUAAACGA
rnacentral:rRNA from 1 species